GUGGGGAAUAUUGGACAAUGGGCGAAAGCCUGAUCCAGCCAUGCCGCGUGUGUGAAGAAGGUCUUCGGAUUGUAAAGCACUUUAAGUUGGGAGGAAGGGUAGUAACCUAAUACGUUGCUACUUUGACGUUACCGACAGAAUAAGCACCGGCUAACUUCGUGCCAGCAGCCGCGGUAAUACGAAGGGUGCAAGCGUUAAUCGGAAUUACUGGGCGUAAAGCGCGCGUAGGUGGUUCAGUAAGUUGGAAGUGAAAUCCCCGGGCUCAACCUGGGAACUGCUUUCAAAACUGCUGAGCUAGAGUACGGGAGAGGGUGGUGGAAUUUCCUGUGUAGCGGUGAAAUGCGUAGAUAUAGGAAGGAACACCAGUGGCGAAGGCGACCACCUGGACUGAUACUGACACUGAGGUGCGAAAGCGUGGGGAGCAAACAGGAUUAGAAACCCGAGUAGUCC
rnacentral:rRNA from 1 species